UUUGAGAAACUUCAGGAGUGGGUUGACAAAUGGGAAGGCGUUGUGUCUACACCCCCCAAGUACAACCUGAGGCUCUUCUCUGAUAAGGACACAUAUGAUAAAAUUGAUGAACUUGCAAAACUGCAGAAUAAGACUGCUCACCAGUUAGCCAUGGAAAUUAUUCGCAAUUAUGCUACUGCCCAGCAAAACGGGAAAGGGGAAUGAGGUGCUCAUGUGCGGUACAAAAAAUGUUGCUGCUGAGCAAAAAAGGCUGAGGUGAAUAAGGAAAAAAACUACCCUUCCCUGUGCUGUUACUGCAUGGUAACAGCAGCUCUGUAAUGAAUGGUAGUUUUGGUAUCAUUCUGUACGACAGUUUUGCUUGUUGAAGUUUUUAUGAGAACUGUAUUCUGUAUUAUUUGACGUUAGGCCUUGUAGCCAGUUAAGAUGAUUUCUUAAAGAGAUUGAUUUUCAUUUCUUUCUCCUGAAAUAAAAUUAUCCUUUCUGUA
rnacentral:misc_RNA from 1 species